CAGAGUAGGUAUUGUGCGUCAAGUGCCAUGUGUACGGGAUGUUGACCAUGGACGAAAGAAUCUUAAAGAACGGAUUCUGCGAUGCAAUAUCGCUUCCGCUGC
rnacentral:ncRNA from 1 species